UUUCUACCUCUUCCGUCCCAAAAUUCUUGUCUUAGAUUUGUGUAGAAAUUGAUGUAUCUAAAUACUAAAACUUGACCAAAUACAUUCAUAUCUAGACAAAUUUAAGACAAAAAAUUUGGGACAGAGGGAGUAUUUC
rfam:Hordeum vulgare subsp. vulgare, WGS project CAJW01000000 data, contig: morex_contig_51132